rnacentral:rRNA from 1 species
CUAGCCGUAAACGAUGGAUACUAGGCGUUGUGAGUAUCGACCCUCACAGUGUCGUAGCUAACGUGUUAAGUAUCCCGCCUGGGGAGUACGCGCGCAAGCGUGAAACUCAAAGGAAUUGACGGGGGCCCGCACAAGCGGUGGAGUAUGUGGUUUAAUUCGAUGCAACGCGAAGAACCUUACCAGGACUUGACAUGUCGCGAAUCUCAGGGAAACUUGAGAGUGCCUUCGGGAGCGCGAACACAGGUGGUGC